GGAAGAUCAAAGAAACUACGAGAAAGAGAGAAAAGGGAGAAGAUACAGAGUUUUUAGUAGAACUCUUCCAGAAUGUUGUGAUGUUGUGUGGCUUUCGCAACGUUUUGAAUGUAACGAAGUAUGUACAUUCAUACAAGAUUGAGAAUUCUGAUUACCGUGACGAGCACCUUGUCGAGCUUCUCCCUGGCCGCGCAUCUGGGCUACUGGGCUGAUAGAUCGUGCAGCGGCAAAGCCAGCAGCGACACCAAGGGAACGCCGUCGGUCCACCCAAUCCUUCCAGUCCC
rnacentral:lncRNA from 1 species